ACUAUUUUGACGUCAUUUAUUCAUAAAGACAAUUUCAAUAAAUGAACGCACUAAAUUACAAUAAUUUGAGAUAUGUCGCUUACAUAAUAUUCAGUGGUGUGCGUUAUGUGCAUACUAAAAUGUUAUAUCAAUCAGUAUUGGUGUUAUAUUCGCCACUCACACAGAAAUGGCAGCCAUUUUGAUUCUUUCAAUUUUAGUAAUACCAUUAACUAUAACGACACCACUUUUAUAUAAUCAUUAUGUAUAUAAUAAGCUACAAUACUUUACGCUAUUGUUACAAGAUCAAUUUUACUGGAAGACAAAUCUUAUGGCAUACAAUAUUUUUAAUACGUUAUUAUUUUAAAUUUAAAUGCACCGAUAUAUACGUAAAACUAUGAAAACAUCUCUAUUGAAAGGAAAAACAACUAGUGGGAUUAUAAAUACAAAACAUUAGGAAAAUAGUACCUUUCGUAUUCUAAUUGAAAACGUCUCAGAAACAUUUUUAUUUAAGAUUAAAAAAUAAAAUAGACAUACGACUAUUAAAUUUCGAUAAGACAAAACGAUAGUGCGAGAAAAAAUUUGAGAAGUGGCACGCCCCAAUAAGAAAUAUUUACAAUAGACGAACAAAGCAUCUUCAUAAUAUAUAAAUUUAUCGAAAAAUUCAAGUACACACGUUAAAAAACUUUAUUUGAAACGACGUAAAUUUCUUCAAGUAUAAUAUAUCACUCGGCAAAAACAUAGCUAUUUAUGUACAGCUGAAGCUAGUACUAGAGAGACACUAUGAAACAAAUUGUCAAACAUUUCUCAAUUUCAAGCUUUUAGCACACCAUUGAUGUUUACGUCUUCAAAUCUACUUUUUUUCUUACAAUGGUAAAGCCGUGACUAAGUUGGUCGUGACUAUAUCGCCUGCAAAAUCACCGAAAUAUCGGAAGUUUCAAAAUGAUAAUCGCAGAAAGUCCCUUAUAAGUGAAAAUGUUAAUAGAGACUUAAAAAUUUAUACUAAUUUAAUGUUGCCAGAAUGAUGCAGUUAUAACGAUGGUAGAUUAAAUCAGAUACAACGAUCGACCAAUAUCAUAUCAUUGCAAUACCAGACUCCAACUUCAGUCUAAAAUUCCGCGACUCUAAAACUUAAAAACUGAUUGAAAAUUGAUAAACGUUCGACAAUUCGAUUAUAACUUAAGCUCCAAUAUUUAUUCGAAAAAAUUACUUAAUUUACGAACGACGAUCACAAAUCGUAUGUCGCGCUUAACUUAUAAUUACUUAGAAAGGAUAUGUAAUAUUAAUUGAUGAGUAUUAUAUAUAUUUAAAACGAAUUGAAAGCCGCUUGACUCUUGUAAGCAUUAACACACAAUGAACCUUAACUACCAAAACUUGGUCACUAGUGUUUAUAUAUAUAAUUAAGUCAUAUUUUCUGGUAUAAACAUAUCCCUACAAAUAUUAUAAAUGUGAAAACUACUUAACAGAUCAUCAUGAAACUUUGUACACAUAUUCUUGGAAGUAUUAAAAGUAACAUAGGAUACUUUUUACUAAACAUAAUUCAGUGCGGGUAAAAGCUAGUUUUCAAAUAAAUGGAAAACAGUUGAUUUGUAUGUCUGUGGUAAACCGUUCAAAAAUACUUAAGACAAUAUGAGAGAGAACUUAAUAAAGGUAAUUACUAUAGACCUUAAUUAAUCAGUUGUUCAAGCUAUCAUUGUAUUUAAAGACAUUAGAUUAUAUUAUAUAUUAAAUAAAAAUGUAAAACAAUUAAUAGUUAAAAAAGAACUAUUUUUUUUUUGUCCAAACGAAGAAGUUAGAUAAAAAUAGUAUUUGUUUAAAACAAAAUUUGAAGAGGUAGAUCGGCGUUUAUGAAGAGUAUAGUUAAGACUGUGUGAUUAUUAUAUUACACUAGACUUAAUAGACAAUCUAAAAUUUCGUAUGAUAUAAAUAAAAUAAGUACAUACGAAAUAAGACUUGAAGAAUUACUUAAAAUAUCAGAAAACUUUGUUUCAUAUUACAUGAACUAUAUAUACAUGAAAAAGGUAAUAAAUAUACUUGCAAAUAAUAGCAUAUUUUUAGGGAGUUUCUCUGUCUUUUUGUGCAUCACCCUAUCGUAACAUAUACGUUAUACAAAGUGCAAUAAACAAAAAAAUCAAAAUAUCAUUGAAAUUUAUAAUUUAAAGCUCAAUAAAAUUGUAAUUAAUUAAAUAUCUUAUUUAUUUGUUCGCUCUUGUUAUACCAGAAUUAAAAAUAGAAACAUUAAAUGAAUUUUAAAACAAUUGCAUUGCCUAACCGCUAGCACAACGAUCUCUUACAGGCAACCUUAGUGAUAAGACUUAAGACUAACGUUUGAUUGAUUGACUCAACCUAUAACAUCCCUCUGCUGGCAAUAGGAAACAUAAUGAAUUGAGUAACGAUUGCUAUCAAGCAUCUAUGAUAACAACCAUCACCGACAACUUAACGUGCUCUCCGAGGCACGGUGGCGUGACCCACAAGGACUAU
rnacentral:misc_RNA from 1 species